AGCGGCCUUCUGGACUGACACUGACACUGAGGUGCGAAAGCGUGGGUAGCAAACAGGAUUAGAUACCCUGGUAGUCCACGCCGUAAACGAUGUCGACUAGCCGUUGGGUCCCUUGAGGACUUUGUGGCGCAGUUAACGCGAUAAGUCGACCGCCUGGGGAGUACGGCCGCAAGGUUAAAACUCAAAUGAAUUGACGGGGGCCCGCACAAGCGGUGGAGCAUGUGGUUUAAUUCGAUGCAACGCGAAGAACCUUACCUACCCUUGACAUCGUGCGAACUUGGUAGAGAUACCUUGGUGCCUUCGGGAGCGCACAGACAGGUGCUGCAUGGCUGUCGUCAGCUCGUGUUG
rnacentral:rRNA from 1 species